GAUGAACGCUAGCUACAGGCUUAACACAUGCAAGUCGCAGGGUAACAUGAGGAAAGCUUGCUUUCCUUGAUGCCGACUGGCGCACGGGUGAGUAACGCGUAUCCAACCUUCCCAUAACUACGGGAUAACCCGUUGAAAGACGGCCUAAUACCGUAUGAUAUCGUUUGCUGACAUCAAAUAACGAUUAAAGGUUUAGCGGUUAUGGAUGGGGAUGCGUCUGAUUAGCUUGUUGGCGGGGUAACGGCCCACCAAGGCGACGAUCAGUAGGGGUUCUGAGAGGAAGGUCCCCCACAUUGGAACUGAGACACGGUCCAAACUCCUACGGGAGGCAGCAGUGAGGAAUAUUGAUCAAUGGGCGAGAGCCUGAACCAGCCAAGUAGCGUGCAGGACGACGGCCCUAUGGGUUGUAAACUGCUUUUAUGUGGGGAUAAAGUGCGUGACGUGUCAUGCAUUGCAGGUACCACAUGAAUAAGGACCGGCUAAUUCCGUG
rnacentral:rRNA from 1 species